rnacentral:rRNA from 1 species
UACGGGGGGAGCAAGCGUUGUUCGGAUUUCCUGGGCGUAAAGGGCGCGUAGGCGGCCACCGCAAGUCAAUUGUGAAAUCUCCGGGCUUAACUCGGAAAGGUCAACUGAUACUGCGGGGCUAGAGUGCGGAAGGGGCAACUGGAAUUCUCGGUGUAGCGGUGGAAUGCGUAGAUAUCGAGAGGAACACCUGCGGCGAAGGCGGGUUGCUGGGCCGACACUGACGCUGAGGCGCGAAAGCCAGGGGAGCGAACGGG